rnacentral:pre_miRNA from 1 species
AAGAUACUCCCUCCGUUCAGAAUUACUUGUCACAAAAAUGGAUAUAUCUACAACUAAAAUACAUCUAGAUACAUUCAUUUCUUGGACGAGUAAUUCCGAACGGAGGGAGUACAUG